AUGGUGGAUUCUCCACAACUGUUUUUUUUUUGUUUUUGUUUUUUUUUUUAAAAUCAAGACUGGAUGGGUUUCUAAAAGAUUUGCUCCAGGAAUUAUUUUGGGGAAAUUCAAUGGCCUGUAUUACACAUGACAGAUAAUCAAAACGGUCCCUUCUGGCUUUGGAAUCUAUGAAACUAUUUUCCCCAGGGUGGAUAAAAAUCAAUGAUUUUGGGGGUGAAUAAAAAAAAACAGGUUUUUUAAAAAAAAUUUAUAUAAAUUACAUUGAGCAUUUCUUUUUAAAUGCAAGCUUGUUUAAAAUGAAAUCUGAACUUAAUACAAAAUGCGUUAAGACCUAAACUGAUUAUAAUGUCUUUAAAAAUUAAAUAAAAAAUAUACUGAACAUGAGUCUCUUCCAAAAACGUUAAGGCUGCUUUUCUAUAUAAAAAAAAAAAAUCAUGUCAAUAACUUCCAACUUUUGAGGUCAAGCUUUAUAAAUAUGGCAGAAAGUAAUAGUAAAUAAGCAAUAUAUCAUUCACCAUUUUUCUACAUACUAAAAAUUUACAAUUAAUAAGAAUCUGAAAAUAUUAAGCUAUGUAAUUGCUUAAAUAUAUAUAGUUAUAGAGCAUGCUCCUAGGAAACAAAACAAUGUACCAAAUCUAGCGUAAAGACUAUUUAGUUGUAAAUCAACAUGUUUUAAUGGCUGUAUCAACCAUGAAAGUGCACCUUUCUUUAAAAGAUAACUGAAGUACAAAUGGAAAAGUUGAUUAAAUUGAUGAAUUAAAGUGAGGCUUUCUACUUGACUAUUUAAAUCAUGAUUUCAAUAUCAGACUGAAAUUGCUCUGAUUUAAAUCAAUCCACCCCGCUUUCACCUGGAUUCCACUGUAUUAAGUUCAUCUCAUUUUCAAAGUUUCAUAAAAGUCAGGCAUUCAAAACGUUAAGGGCUCAAUUCUACAGUCCCUAUAGGAGUAAAAUUCCUAUGGAGUCCAGUGGGAUUUUUGUCUUUACAAGGACUGCAGGUUCAAGCCCUCGUGGCCACAUUUCAGAGAUUAUGAUCUCUUCUCUCUACAAGAAGUCUCAAUACAAAUUGUAAAACCAAUCAGUAAGUCCUUCCAUGGAAAGCACAGUCCCUGGGGUAGAAUGAAAUGUCUUUACGACUUCACAUUUUUAUUCUAGUCGUGUUGAAAAUGUCCAGGAUUCCUAUUUAAAUUCCUUCAGCAGUUUCUACUCAAUUUCUGACAAUUUAAUGUUUAGGAUGGUGCCCACAGUAACAAUAGCAUGAGAAAGAUUUCAGUACAAUAAUUAUUUACAAAGUUUUUAAAGCACAUUUUACAUGGGUGAAAAAAAUUACUCUUCUGAAAUUAAAGACAAGACUUGAGUUUCUUUCUUGAACACAAAAAGAAUGUUGUUUACUUCUAAACUAUAGCUUUACAUGUGCUAUAAGCAAUGUUUAUUUCAAGAACUCUAGUUCCUUUUGUCUAGUAAUACCAUGUAUGCUCUCUCAGUAAGAUUGUGAAACUUGCAUUAAGCUGCAAUCACUGCAACAAUGCCAGAAAAUCUUUCCUAAGGGAAUAGUAUAAUAAGUACUUUGCAGCUGUAACCACAACUACCAAAAUGUUUUGAUCAUGGAAAGCUUAAGUUGGUGUUUGUUAUUCACCAAAAACCAUUAUCAAUAGGAAUAAUUAAACCGUUCUCAGAAUUAGAUGUUCCCCAUUUCCACUGAGAUUUGAACAUACAGACUUUAGGAUUGGUUCCUUAGAAAAUUGACUCUUUUUAGCUUACUUUAACCUCUCUACCUUCAUCUGUAAUAUAAGGAAAAUGGGACAGAUGUUGCAAGUUGCUUACUACAAUUGUCUUUUUUUCACCUCGGGAGGUGUGGAUUCAAACGUUACCUAAAGUCACAAGAAUUGUUUCAUAAUCUCAAGAUGGUCCUUAAAACACAUUUAAAAAAAACCAAAACAAAUACCCAACACUCUACAGGUAAGAUUUUCAAAGCUGUCCAAGACACUUAGUUACAAACCCCCCAUUAAUUUUGAUGGAAAGCAAGCAGCUGAGUCCUCUAGUUGCUUUGGGGAAAAAGUCUCACCGCCACAUGCCUUGUCAUAAGUAACAGGCAGUCAAGAUCAACCCCUACAGUGGAUUAAGGAGUACCACCACAGGAUCCAAAGUAAUCCUAACAAUGAGGAGUCCUUGAGACACCUCAGAGACUAACAAAUUUAUUUGGGCAUAAGCUUUCGUGGGCUAAAACCACUUCAUCAGAUGCAUGGAGUGGAAAAUACAGACACACACGCACACGAAACAGCCACCACUCCGAAAGUAGUCCUAGCCACUCUUUCCUAACCAGAAGGUGGACUCUAGAAAGAAACUUUGAAAGAUGAGGGGGAAGAGAGAUGGUCCUCUGCACUCCUACAAAGGCAUGGAAAGCUCCUCACUUGGGAAAAUACACAUCUAGCAGCCUUCUCUCCACUCCUAACAUAGAUAACUCAGAGUCUCACAUACUACCCACCUGCCUUUUACAGACUCCUGUGGCAAACAUCAAAUUCACUAUCUGCCAGGGAAAUGCUGCAGAAUGUCUCAGAAGACUCAGCCAAAUGGGACACCAUGUUCAGACAUCAUAUUGAUGGGCACUUUCCAGACAGGCAUACAAAGACCCUUUAAGCCUCCCAUCUCAUCCAUUCCAGCAAAUUUCAGCCCAAGAUGGAUUUCUACAGACAACUUUAAAACUCCAGAAAACAACAGAAACCGAAGAGAAUUGGUUUGUAAACAUCUUUUCCUCCCAGUAUUCUGAUUAGCCAGAUCUUCAGGAAACAGCUAAGAAUUUGUAGUAAUGGAAACAUCUCUCCAAUCUUAGUGCUAUAUUCCAGUGUUUGCUACCAAGAUUAUGAUUAUUAUACUAAGCAAUAUGGCCUCUAUAUUUUAUCCCCUCUCUCCAUUGCAACUUGCUUAGUUGGACAGACAAAUCUCCAUGUUAAGGUCACAAGUUAUUUCAAAUAAAAAGAACUAGCCCCUUAUAGACUUUGUAUUAGACAUAAACAAUCCAGAAUAUUUAAUUUACCAUAACACAUUCCAUGCGCUGUGAAAAAUCAAAGGCAGGAGGGAUACUUGGACCACUUUCCAAUUUGUUAGGAAAUGUUCACUGGAUUUAAAUCUGACCCAAUCAGUUUGUAAAAUAAGGCAGUUUUCAGUUUUACUUUUGUUGUUUAAUAGCUCAGCCCGAUGUCACUGUAUAAUAUACAGUAUUUUGUUCUUAUUGAAAAAUUUGCUGGCUGCCUCAGUAUUAACAUUGAGUUGUUGAAAGCAAUACAAUGUCCACAGGGGUAUUCAGAACCUAUUGAAAAACAAACCAUGAGCUAAAAGGUUUCUUACCAUGAUCUUGCUUACCCAUUGCACUUAGAUAAUGAUUAAAGGCUUGACAAGGGGGACUUGGAGUCUGCGUGGACUUGUCGCAACUCAUAGGCGCAGGACUCCUGUCUGUGUCGAAAGAGAAAUACCCACUGGAGGAUCUAGACAGCAGUGAGGAUCUUCUUACAAAGAUGAAAAGUGGGGAUCUGGUAGCAAAUGGACUGGGGCUACUGGGUGGUGCAAAUGGUCCCUGAGGGCUGCUGGGCGAAGAGCUCCCUGAGGGCUGCUGGGCGAAGUCCCCCUCACCUGAAUGAUUACCUUGAUACUGUGUUUGUAUAGAGGUAGGGGCCCCAGGUCUAAGGUGCUGAGGCUGACUUGGCCUUUCAGUUGACUGAAACUGUCCACCUUCUCUGUUGCACUCUGAAUUUAGAUCAGAAGGUUGCUUUGCCAUUUGGUCUUUUUUUCCUGCAAAGAAAGAGGAAGACAUUUUAAGAAAUCUCUCUAGGCUUUAUUAUAAUACUGUAAUAUCUAAUAAGUUUUGCAAUAAAUUCUCAAUGUCCUUA